UGGAUAUAUUCCUUAGUCUCUGCUCUGCACUCUUUUACCACGACACUUAGUGUUUAAAACCUAGUAAGUGUUUUGAAUAUCAUGAAUAGGUUUGCUCCGAGUUGAUUGAGUGGGAUUUCGUUCUACAACGCUGUUAAGAACAUUAAUCGUUUUCGAUUAUAAAAACAGAUUUAAUCAAACAAAACGAUGCUUGGCUAUAUCUCUGGGACCAUCAAGAUAAGAAAUCAGAAGAAGACGGCUCACUGUAAGUACAUAAUUACCGUCAGACCCGAAACUAGCAACCCCGGUGCCUUAUAAAAUGUGUUGUGUGGUUGUUGACUAUACUCCAACACUUGCAUAAGACUUAGUCGUCGUAAUAGGAUACUGUAGUUAGAUUAACGAGGUUAAUUCUAAGCUUUCUGCACAUAUAUUACAUGCCUAUAACAAAAAAUAUAUAUUUACGACACUUUGCACACUUUGUCGGAUGUUUCGUUAUCUGGCAAAAGCAUACCGGCGCAGGUUCACCAAAAACUAACAAGUGUUAUGAGGUUUAAGCAACAUGUCGGUGUCUACUGGUUGUGGGUAAGUCCAGGCCCUUGUUGUGUUGUACUGUAAAGUGGAAACUCCGCUGCAAUUUGAAUCGUCAGGCUAUUCGAAUAGCAAAGUUUUUCACUCGCUAGGUCAUAGGCUUCUCGAGUUGGGCUUUAUGAGAUCUGACAAACAGUUUCCAGAAGAAAUAAGAAAAAUCAAGCAACAUUACAGGGAUGCUAAGACUCACAAUGGAAAACCAGCCAGCGAUACGUAGAGGUCAGACACUUCAGUCUGGGAGUGUGGUGCAGUUUCUGGAAGAGAUGCAAAUCUCUGACCAAUCUGAUCUUGAACAACCAGAGGUGCAGUUGACUUCUUCCAGCAGCACUUCCAACUCCACCAGCACUACCAACUCCACCGGAGAGUGUUUCCUGCCACCCUCACUAGGACACCGUGUGAACACACCUGCUCAUCUCCCUGUGAGCCCCAUUAGUGAUGUGCAGUUCACGAAAGAUUCAUUCGUUUUGAACAAAUCUUUUUAGUGACUCUGGAGUUUUUUUUUCUUCUAGUGACUCAAUUGUAACAUUUAUUCGGAUUUCUACAACAUGAUCACUUGCUUCUUACCCGGUCCUCCAGCUCAGUUCUCAGAUCAACGUCUAUGUACAUUCGCAGAGAAAAAUAGAUCAAGGCUGGAACAUCAUAGACAUGUUUAUAAUAAUAAUUAAUGUAGUUAGUUGACCACUGAUGUCAUGAAAAACACAGAUGAUAAAGAAAGACUUGUGAACAAAUGACUCGCUCAGUUUUAUCCUUAAAAAAAAAUGUGGGAGUUGUUGAUUUCUGAUUGUAAUGAUAAACACAGAUGAAAUCGUACACUGAGCCUUUGCCUAAGUACAAACUACUUGUAAACGACUGACUUGUUCAGUUUUAUCGUUCAAUUGAACAGUUGUUUUGGUCAUUUGAAUGACUGGCAGCGGAGUUCUACCCAACCACGGAUUUGGCUGUUAGGUUUACGUUUGCAAAGAAAAAUAGAUCAAGACAGUAACAUUAUAAAGAUGUUUAUAAUGUUUACCAGAUAAUUGGACACAUGGUAGGUCUAAAAUAAUUAGGCUAAUGUAGUAGUUGAUUUUUGAUUGUUAUGAUAAACACAUGAAAUCAUACACCGAGCCUUUGCCUACGUAAAAAAGACUUGUGAAAGACUGACUUCAGUAUUAUCGUUUUAAAAGUUCUACUCCAAACCCUGGCUUCCAGCGCAGUAGCCUUGUCUCUGUCCAACAGCUGUUAGUUUGACGUUCUCAAAGAAAAGUUGAUCAAGAAAGUAGCAUUGUGACAACAUGACGCACAGCCCACCGUGAUUAAUGUAGUUUUAGAUUUUUGAUUGCAAUGAUAAACAUAGUUGUAAUCGUAGAGUAAAACAAGCGUUUGCUAAAGUAGAAUAGAAACGUAAAUGACAUUAUGAUGAUGAGCAUUUGUUGGCCCCGGGGGGCUUUGUGGCUGUAGACUCAAAUGAAUGAAAUACAGAGCCCAUCCCACCAUCUCUCUCAUGAGCUCGCUGCCAAGACAAACUGUAUGCUAAGAACUGCAGUUUGUGUGAAAUGGACUUCAACAGCUUAGGUAGUAGGUCAUGGCUGUAUUGUCUAAUUUUAAGACACCAUGCUUGAAUAAUGACACAAAUUAUUUUGAGGAAAAGUAUGCAACUUUAUAAGUUUUUUCAAUCCUGUCUGGUUCAAGUGAUAUGAAAAUACUUUAACAUGUAUGUGAAACUCAUCUGUCAUAUCACAGCACAACAUUUACAAUAGACCUUGUUAGUCUAUGUUCUGCUACCACAGCAAUGAUUUUACCUGUAUUGGAUUUUGAUUAUUUGUACAUUUUUCAGGCAAAAGGAAGUGAUAAUCCGGACAGAGGAAGAUGGUAAAACCAUUAAACAACAUGUGACCAUGAGCUAUUGGACAGAAGGGCGGAUGCCCAGCGCUCAUUGGCACAAGAGGCAUUUGAGUAUGCGAAGGAGAGAGAUGCCAGAGAAGAAAUCCAGAUAGAGGCAGCAAGGGAUCAGGCCAAGUGUUUUAACACCGGGUUUCUCUGUGUUUUCAGUCGGCUGGUUCGCGUCCUUUCCACAAGCUGCCUGUCGUGGAAAUCACUAAAUGUACAAAUAGCAGAGACUGUAGAUUCUAUUCACAAGUAAAGCUUUAUUCUAUAUUUGCAAACCUGGAUCAAUAACCAACAAUCUCAGCAGAGUCAGUUCAAGAGCUCUCAGUUAAAGGUUGAGCUCAGGCCUAUAUACAUUCAGUACAGCCCACUGUGUCCCCCACCAAGUAUACAUGUCUCACUAGCUUCUCUGCAAACUUUGGCUUAGAAAGAUGUUAAAUAUCAUUUUUGGAUAACGCUCUUAUCAAUACAUUACGGUAAUGGUGUUGGAGGUAUUACGGUUUUACGUUUACUUCUGUGUAUGCAAUGUAUGCCAGUUGAGUUCACUGGUAUGCAAUGAUGAGGAAGGAUGUACAGAGCUGUGUACAUGUAUGGAAUAAAUAACUAUAUGGAACCGACGCUCCGCUUAUACUUUCACCUUAAGUUAAGCCUGCGCAAGUUAAGCCUGCACAACAAAAGAUAACGAUGUUCACAGCCCUUGAGAAGUUUAGCCAAAACUAUAGCUAUCUGUUGUAGGCACAUCCUGUACAAGUGAGCAGAGCCAAAACACAUAAUGGCCUUGCUUAAUGACUGGAUUAUACUUAAAAUAAGCAAUAUGAUAUUAUUGUACUAUGGAAUCAGAACAUUUCUACCACACGCCCCCAUCCUUGAUUAUGUGCUGACUUACAUUUCUACUCCUGUCCAUCAUUACAGCCUUACAUGUCCCCUUUCAUUUGUAAAUAGUUCUUAAAUUGCAGAUUUUUGCACAUUUGACAAGAUUUUGAAUAUUUUAUUUUAAUUUGGACUUUUCUUCUUUGACUUUCACUUUGACUUAGAUUGUCU
rnacentral:lncRNA from 1 species